rnacentral:rRNA from 1 species
ACUACGGGUGGCAGCAGUGAGGAAUAUUGCACAAUGGGCGCAAGCCUGAUGCAGCCAUGCCGCGUGUGUGAAGAAGGCCUUCGGGUUGUAAAGCACUUUCAGCGGGGAGGAAGGCGGUGAGGUUAAUAACCUCAUCGAUUGACGUUACCCGCAGAAGAAGCACCGGCUAACUCCGUGCCAGCAGCCGCGGUAAUACGGAGGGUGCAAGCGUUAAUCGGAAUUACUGGGCGUAAAGCGCACGCAGGCGGUCUGUCAAGUCGGAUGUGAAAUCCCCGGGCUCAACCUGGGAACCGCAUUCGAAACUGGCAGGCUAGAGUCUUGUAGAGGGGGGUAGAAUUCCAGGUGUAGCGGUGAAAUGCGUAGAGAUCUGGAGGAAUACCGGUGGCGAAGGCGGCCCCCUGGACAAAGACUGACGCUCAGGUGCGAAAGCGUGGGGAGCAAACAGGAUUAGAUACCCGGGUAGUC